UCUGACAUUUUGUGUAUCUUUAAUUCUAAAACUUCAGCACUGUUUCAGCAGUACACAUUCUUUUAAAAUCUUCUUUUGCAACACUCCAAUGUUUUCCACUGGGGAAGAGGCCAAAAGAAUAACUAUGCUUCCUGAAAAACCCCCACAAAUAUGGAAAUCCACACCAACUGCCAUGAAGAUCAUAGUCUGGGCUUCAUUUCUACAAGUCUCUCUAAUUUGUAUAGUCAGUGAACCACUUUCGUUGCUCCAGAGCCUCCUUCUCAGCUCGUUUACGAUGCUCUUUCUCCACCUUUUCAUACUUUUUCCAAUAAAGAAGCAUCUCCUUAGUAAGACGACGUGCUCGUGGCAGAGUUUCCUUACAGUUUUUCUGGGCCUGGAUCGCAGCUCGACGUACCUCCCUCAUGCACUGAUGGGCAAGCUAUAAUGAAGUAAUGUAGAAACAGUGGUAAAAUGGGCAGAUUUUAAAGAAAGCCAAAUAAAACCCAUUAAAUUUAACUACAACCAAGUCUGAUCCUUCAGAAGAGAAAAACUGUGAUAAUUUACUCAACAGUCAUGCUUUUGAAAUGGCAAGAGAGAACGUGAACUUCCAAAAACCUCCUGAGAUGGUGGAGAAGACAAAACUUGAAGACAGUUUCAGCAUGGCAUGGAACUUAAAGGACUGAUCUUGUGGGUAGGUCCUUGAAAGGGACCCAGGACCCUGGAUCAGAUCAGGAGAUCAGUUCAAGACUUGCCUGCAACUCUGACUCAUCUAUUCCAGACACUUUUCUGUGGUACCCAUGCUUUCUCACUUUUAAUAAGGCUCCUACAAUAGAAAUAUUGGUGGAAUAGAAUUCCAUUCACGUGAUAAUACACUGAAAAGUUGGAAAGUACCCUACAAUUUUCCUACGGUCUCAUGAAGAUGCAUAAUACAAUGUAAUUUUUCUUGAUAGUAUAAAUAAAUUAACAUCAUUGUCAUAAUGGUCAAAAUUGCCAGGUUUCAUGUUUGUGACAGGAUUUUUUCCUCCACCAAAAUUUCCACAUCAACAAUUCUAACAAAUUUCAAAUGACCAAAUAAAA